CUACGGGGGGCACCAGUGAGGAAUAUUGCGCAAUGGGGGAAACCCUGACACAGCGACGCCGCGUGGAUGAUGAAGGCCUUCGGGUCGUAAAAUCCUGUCAGAAGGAAAGAAGUGUAUGGUAGCUAAUAUCUGCCAUACUUGACGGUACCUUCAAAGGAAGCACCGGCUAACUCCGUGCCAGCAGCCGCGGUAAUACGGAGGGUGCAAGCGUUGUUCGGAAUUACUGGGCGUAAAGCGCGCGUAGGCGGUUUUAUAAGUCAGAUGUGAAAGUCCACGGCUCAACCAUGGAAGUGUAUUUGAACUGUAAGACUUGAGUAUUGGAGGGGGUAGUGGAAUUCCCGGUGUAGAGGUGAAAUUCGUAGAUAUCGGGAGGAAUACCGGUGGCGACGGCGUCUAUCUGGCCAAAUACUGACGCUGAGGUGCGAAAGCGUGGGGAGCAAACAGGAUUAGAUACCCUUGUAGUC
rnacentral:rRNA from 1 species